rnacentral:rRNA from 1 species
UGUAUCCUACGGGACGCAGCAGUAGGGAAUCUUCCACAAUGGACGAAAGUCUGAUGGAGCAACGCCGCGUGAGUGAAGAAGGGUUUCGGCUCGUAAAGCUCAGUUGGUAGUGAAGAAAGAUAGAAGUAGUAACUGGCCUUUAUUUGACGGUAAUUACUUAGAAAGUCACGGCUAACUACGUGCCAGCAGCCGCGGGAAUACGUUGGUGGCAAGCGUUGUCCGGAUUUCUUUGGCGUAAAGCUAGUGCAGGCGGGUCAAUAAGUCUUGUUGUGAAGCCUU